AGUUAAUGAACUUGAAAUAAGUAUAUACUUUGAAAGUAUAAAAAAGGAGCCUAAUCUUCUAUUAACUU
rnacentral:tRNA from 1 species